rnacentral:rRNA from 1 species
ACGAACGCUGGCGGCAGGCUUAACCCAUGCAAGUCGAACGCAUGCCUUCGGGCAUGAGUGGCAGACGGGUGAGUAACGCGUGGGAACCUACCCCUUGGUACGGGAUAGCUCCGGGAAACUGGAGAUAAUACCGUAUGUGUCCUGAGGGACAAAGAUUCAUCGCCAAGGGAUGGGCCCGCGUCGGAUUAGCUAGUUGGUGGGGUAACGGCCUACCAAGGCGACGAUCCGUAGCUGGUCUAAGAGGAUGAUCAGCCACAUUGGGACUGAGACACGGCCCAAACUCCUACGGGAGGCAGCAGUGGGGAAUAUUGGACAAUGGGCGCAAGCCUGAUCCAGCCAUGCCGCGUGAGUGAUGAAGGCCCUAGGGUUGUAAAGCUCUUUCACCGGUGACGAUAAUGACGGUAACCGGAGAAGAAGCCCCGGCUAACUUCGUG